rnacentral:rRNA from 1 species
UACAGAGGGUGCGAGCGUUAAUCGGAAUUACUGGGCGUAAAGCGUGCGUAGACGGUUAUUUAAGUCGGAUGUGAAAGCCCUGGGCUCAACCUGGGAAUGGCACUCGAUACUGGGAAGCUGGAGUGCGGUAGAGGAGGGUGGAAUUCCCGGUGUAGCGGUGAAAUGCGUAGAGAUCGGGAGGAACAUCAGUGGCGAAGGCGACCCUCUGGACCAGCACUGACGCUGAGGCACGAAAGCGUGGGGAGCAAACAGG